GGUCAGGAUGAACGCUAGCGAUAGGCUUAACACAUGCAAGUCGAGGGGCAGCAUUUGGUAGCAAUACUGGAGAUGGCGACCGGCGCACGGGUGAGUAACGCGUAUGCAACCUACCUUCUACAGGGGGAUAGCCCGGAGAAAUCCGGAUUAAUACCCCAUAACACAGGGAAUCCGCUGGAUUUAUAGUUAAAGAAUUUCGGAGAAGAUGGGCAUGCGUUCCAUUAGGCAGUUGGCGGGGUAACGGCCCACCAAACCGACGAUGGAUAGGGGAACUGAGAGGUUUAUCCCCCCACACUGGUACUGAGACACGGACCAGACUCCUACGGGAGGCAGCAGUGAGGAAUAUUGGUCAAUGGGCGAGAGCCUGAACCAGCCAAGUCGCGUGAAGGACGACGGUUAAUUAUGUAUUGUAAACUUCUUUUCUGGGGGACUAACGGCAGAUACGUGUAUCUGUGUGCAUGUACCCCAGGAAUAAGCAUCGGCUAACUCCGUGCCAGCAGCAGC
rnacentral:rRNA from 1 species